GAGGGAGGGGGAGAGAGGGGGGUGCAUCACACACAGCUGAGCAUCAGAUAUUCACUUUCUUGUUGUGGAGUUGUAGAGAGAGAAAGAAGCCACAGGAUUCAACCUCCUCCAGCCUUUUUUUGGUUCACUCUUUGGCACGCUGAACCUUUUUGUAAAUUCUCAGAGUGCCACACCGACUGAGAGAGAUUAAGACUUUGAAGCAUGAGCUGACUCCUGAGAAUUCUGUUGCCUGCAUCCACUUAUUGUGAAAUGUGAAAAGAAGCUUUUUAUAUUUUUUAAAUAUUGUACAGGACCAUCGGUCACACAUUUUUAUGCAAACUGCUUGUCGUAGUGCGAUCUACCUUAUUUGCUUUUGUUGACAUUUGUGUCUUUUUUUGGGCCAAUGUAUCAGCGUGGCUGCAAUGUAGCACUGACUGUAAUAUUUUAGGUCAUUCCGUCACGAGCUUAUAUGCCACACACACACACACACACACACACACACACACACACACACACACACACACAUCACUGCCUGUUCAGCGAGAGAAAACAUGUUAUGAUUGUUGCUUUGGUCCCUUUAUACAAAACAGUGUGCAUUUGUUUGGUGCUAUGGCCAGUCCACGUAAAUGUUCUGAUGUAAUUUGCAUAUUGUUGUCGCCAUUCCUAAAUAUGGAAGAGGAUUAGGGCCACACAGGAAAAAAAUGUUGACUUUAAACUCAGAAUUCUGACUUUAUUCUCAGAAUUUCUGACUUUAUUCUCAGGACUUCUGACUUUAUUCUCAGAAUUUCUGACUUUAUUGUCAGGAUUUCUGACUUUAUUCUCAGGAUUUCUGACUUUAUUCUCAGAAUUUUGAGUUUAUUGUCAGAAUUUCUGACUUUAUUCUCAGGAUUUCUGACUUUAUUCUCAGAAUUUUGAGUUUAUUGUCAGAAUUUCGGACUUUAUUCUCAGCACUCUAACUUUAAACUCAGAAUUUCUGACUUUAUUCUCAGGAUUUCUGACUUUAUUCUCAGAAUUUCUGACUUUAUUCUCAGGAUUUCUGACUUUAUUCUCAGAAUUUUGAGUUUAUUGUCAGAAUUUCUGACUUUAUUCUCAGCAUUCUAACUUUAAACUCAAAACUCAAGAACUGAGAACUAAAAUAUUUUUUCCUCUGAGGCCCUAAUCCUCUAAAGUCAUAUUAUGGGUAAUAUUUACCUGUUAACAAAAAUAAUGCCCGUUCAUGUGGGGGAUUCAUAUAAAAAUACAGCUGAGGCAAUAGAAAUGACAAUUAUAUUAGGAGGUUUUCCGCGUUUUAGUGCCACUGUGUUUGACUUGUUUGAGAUGCCAAAUUUGCUUUUAGAAAAGUGUAAAAAUCCAAAUCAAAUCUCUAUAAUAGGUAGACACACAGAUUAGCUGAUAAGGCAAAGAGAACGUUAGAAAAAACCAAAUAAUUGUGCUUUUUUAACAAGAAAAAACACUCAAGGUAUUCAAGGCUUUAUUUUCUAUUGCAUUACACAUCAUUGUCACUGAAUUAUGGCUCAGCUUUAACCGCACUCACCACCAACAUGAGGUUAUUUCCCAGAGAGUGAUUAGUUAUCCAGUGUUUUUCCCUGAAACAGAUCACAGGUGAGUGAGUGUAAUGGAGAUCAGGUCAAUGAUGUCUCAGAUAACCCCAGCAUGUAAUCCUGCCUCGGGAGCUCCACAGAUUUUAAUCUGGCACAAAAUAACAGUAAACAUUCUUCCUAGUUUAGAUGUGAGGCUUGAAAUAUGUUAUUUUGUAAAAAAAAAAGUGCUUUAUUGAUCUGCCACUUCACUUUUCUUUUUUUUAAACUCAAGUGUUGAAUGUGAAUAGAUGUUUCCUGAAUGAGGGCUUUUAUUUUGACAGGAGGAAGGAGAGUAACACAUUGCCUGUAUUCUAUUUUGCAAAUGACUAUGACGGUUUGUUAAUGUGAAGGAAUCGCAGCGGUGUUAUUCAUUAAAUUAUUAUUUCAACUAACAAAGUGUCCUGUCGAAUGUGUGGCCCAGCGCAAACCGAGUAAACAAAGAAUUUUUAUUUUUAUUUUUUCAAAAUAAGAGAUUUUCGAUUUUUUUUUUUAAUCACAGAAUUGUGGGUCUUAAAACCAUACACUUUUGUAUAUGAAUUAGAGUUGUUUGUUUGCCGUUGAAUGGCGAUAUCACAUUCCAGUGCUUUCGUUGUUUUUUUCGGCCAAUCAGCUUCUCGUCACAGAGGCAACACAUGGCUACUUAACAUGCAGCUGCUACUGCGCAUGCUCCUCACUGUUACCGCUGCUUCUGGAAGCUGCGCGUGUUUUUCACCGUUGAAUGAAGAUGGACAAGGAAAAACAAACCGCAGAAGAACUAAAUCGUGGCUGUUACCGCGCAUCUUUGGCUGUACAUGCCGACACCGAUUUUCUGCUAUGGUUAGCACACUUUAUGCUAACGCUGUAGCAUUUAAGCUAGCAGACUUUAUGCUAACGCGUUAGCAUUUAAGAUGGCGGACUUUAUGCUAACGCGUUAGCAUUUAAAAUAGCGAAAUAGUUUAUACACAAACAUUAUUUAGCGGCCGAAAGAGAGUGGCAGGACAGGAGAACCUCUAAAACAAGACGCCAGUGAUGAAAAUACAGCACCCCGACCUUCUAUCUUCUCAUGAGAUUGCUCUGCUGUCGAGGAGGAGGAGGAGGAGGAAGAGGAGGAGACGAAGCCAUACAUCAGAAUCAGCCCAAACAACUCUUGGGUGCAGAGCUUCUGCAGGGAGUGAGAUGUUCCAACAAACAAGCUCACAGGAGACGAGUAAACUGCAGGUCCAGGACUUCAGACAGACGGCAUAAAGCGACCGAAGCGAGGACAUAAGUGUGGGAAAGUGUCGAACAGGGACUGUAGAACAUCCCACUCUCCUCCAUCUGAUUAUCAUUCAAGUUUUCCCCAGCCGGGAAAAACUAAACAAAACAAACCCUCCUCCAACCUACUCUCGCUCUGAUUGGCUCAUACUCGUUGCCAUCAGGGUCAGAGCCAAUCAGAAGCAGAAAAAAAAAAUGCUGUCACCUGUCUGUAUGGGAGAAAGGGAGAAAGGAUCAACCUCAUGGAGCCGGGAACAAAGCCCAAAUAUGCAGCUACGGUUCACACUAACAGAAAAAACAAGCCCAAACUCGCUUCUAAUGAGCCAACUCGGCAACGAUGAAGACGAGUAUUCUAACACAGAAUCCCCUCCUCGCGUCGAACAGCCACAGGCGACACAGAGAAAGAAGAAGACACUCUCGUUUAUUUCAAUCCUUGUGAGCAACAGAAGAUCAAAUGACCACUCUGUACGCGUCACCUGUCGUCACGGGAGAACACGGAGAGGCGAUCAAACCGCUGCAGUGAGUGUGGAAUCCAUCAGACGCAUCCCAGGCGCUGGCACAUGAUGGAAGCGGCAGAUAAACCCACAUGUUUUGCUAAAGGAGUAGGUGUAGUGAAAGGGGAUCAGUGCACACAGCAGUGCUUAGAGGUUCAAACGCACCUCUGGGGACGAGAUCGGAUCGAUUCUCCAUGGCCAGGAGCCAAUGCGCUCCCUGACUUCAGCCAGUUACUUAUCCACACCAUAUAUACUCAUACUGUACUGUAUAUACAAAAGCACCACAGACCAGUCGCUUUAUUAGGAACACCCAUGCCAGCGAAAAAUACAGAUGUGAUUUAGGUUUGUCUCCACAGAGCGGGGCUCUGCUGCGUAACAUGUGGUUCAUACGCUGUCGUCGCGAUGCUUUGAUUAGAGGGAGCCACAGUGAUAAACUGCAGCCGCUGCCUCAUUAGUCCGAGUAACUGUGCCCGGUUCCCGCCCACAGGAGCUCCUCCCAAAGCCACAGGAGAGCAGGGCAUCCCUACAAAGCCAAAGACCACAGCCGAGUGCACCAUCUCACACACACACGGGGGACAAACAUGCUCAACUUUCCAGCUGUUGCUGUAAAACAGGAUGAGAUCACUGGCUCCGUGACAAAAUGGGGUUUCCCCACAGGGACAAUCCAUAAGCCUGCGACAGAGCAGAGUAAAACGGCUGCUGCUGUCGACCUGCUGAGCUUCAAACAUCUACUGUGAAUCAGAUCAGUCCGCCUUAAAACCGCCUCACCCCUCACCCGAGCCCUUUGUAUAAGCUUUGGUGCAACAUCGUCACAAAUGGCUGUGGCCGAGCAGA